UUAAUCGGAAUUACUGGGCGUAAAGCGCACGCAGGCGGUUGGAUAAGUUAGAUGUGAAAGCCCCGGGCUCAACCUGGGAAUUGCAUUUAAAACUGUCCAGCUAGAGUCUUGUAGAGGGGGGUAGAAUUCCAGGUGUAGCGGUGAAAUGCGUAGAGAUCUGGAGGAAUACCGGUGGCGAAGGCGGCCCCCUGGACAAAGACUGACGCUCAGGUGCGAAAGCGUGGGGAGCAAACAGGAUUAGAUACCCUGGUAGUCCACGCCGUAAACGAUGUCGAUUUGGAGGCUGUGUCCUUGAGACGUGGCUUCCGGMKAACGCGUUAAAUCGACCGCC
rnacentral:rRNA from 1 species